rnacentral:rRNA from 1 species
AGAGUUUGAUCCUGGCUCAGGAUGAACGCUGGCGGCGUGCCUUAGGUAUGCAAGUCGAGCGGUUCCGAUUUAAUCGGGACAGCGGCAGACGGGUGAGUAACGCGUAGGAAUCUACCUCGAAGUGGAGCAUAGCCCCGAGAAAUCGGGGGUAAUUCUCCAUGUGUCCCGACGUUACGUCGGAGUAAAGGGUGUAACUACUCGCUUCGGGAGGAGCCUGCGUCCUAUCAGCUUGUUGGUGAGGUAAAAGCUCACCAAGGCGACGACGGGUAGCUGGACUGAGAGGUCGGCCAGCCACAAUGGCACUGCGAUACGGGCCAUACACCUACGGGUGGCAGCAACCGGGAAUAUUGCGCAAUGGGCGAAAGCCUGACGCAGCGACGCCGCGUGAAGGAUGAAGGCCUUCGGGUUGUAAACUUCUGUGCUCCGACGUAACGUCGGAGUAGAAAGCACCAGCAAACUACGUGCCAGCAGCGGCGGUAAUUCGCAGGGUGCAAGCGUUAUCCGGAUUUAUUGGGCGUAAAGAGUUUUGUAAGCGGUUUGAGAAGUUAUUGGUCAAAGCCUUUUGCUUAACAGAAGAUCGGCCAGUAAUACUCUCAGACUAGUCCAUAUUCGAGGGUGCUGGAAUUGGCGGUGGAGGGGUGAAAUCCAUUGAGAUCGCCAAGAACACCGAGGGCGAAGGCAGGCACCUAGGAUAUUGGAGACGCUGAGGAACGAAAGCUAGGGGGGCGAACCGGAUUAGAUACCCUGGUAGUCC